CUUACAACACCCACUGUUCCAUAUACAGAAACCUAAGUUCAUUCAUACAGCACCUCUGACUGAGGCAAUGAUCACAUUAUGGCGUAAAACCACUAUAACUUGUACAUGAUAAAACUAACCCAAUAAUAUUAGUCCACAAUAAAUAUUAGAAAAAAAAAAUUCUUUAUAAUGUCAUUGAUCUAUCACUUAAUCACCUGAGUGCCGAAGGCACAAGUCACUGAAAUAAAUAAGCCAUUUGAAUUUAAACAAAUAUCUUUCAAAUUGAAACAAACAUUAACUUAUUGAUAAAUAAAUAUGGAUCAUGAAGUAGCAUGAACACAAGGAUGAUCAUACAACUUAUGCCUUGUGCUCGUGUUGAGGUGAUGCUUCCUUACAUAGUUACUUCUUCUUCUCCCUUAAAUAAGGGUUUGACGUAACGUACAUUUGCCAUAUAAUACUUCCAGAACUCAAAAAGAUCAUCUUUCUUAGCAUCUGUUAUAAUAAAUUAUUUAUCCAUUAAAACCAAUAUAGAAAAAUAAAAAAUACAAAGUGACAAACACAAAUACAAAUCAAAAUUCUCUUCAAUUAAUUGUAUAUAGACGCAACUAUUUUUAAGAUUUGGGAAUCAUAUGGACACCUUACCCUGUACCUAGAGCUAUAUCAUGUCUUAUAAUCAACCUCAUAAAAAAUUAUUUACACCUAACCUCACCCAAAACCUUCAAAUUUUUUGUCUUUACGGUUUUUUUUUUUUUUUUUUGUCAUGAAUUUAUUGUCUCCUUCGUCUCCUCCACCAACACAAAAGCCUUACGUAUAGAGCUUUUUCACUCUUUCCAACCAUGGAAAAAACAAACUCAUCUAACAAAUAAACAAACAUAUUUAUAACAAAGCCAAACCGAAAAAAGAACAAAUUAGACAAUUAGGGUUUCAAUACACUUGGGAGGGAAAUCAGAAGAGAGAGAACUCACAAGUCGGAAAAUAGAAAGAGGAAGGAGGUAUGUGGAGAAGAGAUUAGUAGGGAGAGACAAUUCUAGACAAAACUGUAACUAAACUUCGGUGGCUCUUAGCACCUUGGCCACCCCAAAGUCUGCAUUAUUGGGUGGGGCCGUGGGGAUAACAUUUUGGAUAGCUCUUGGUAGUUGGUAUGACUUCCUUAAAAUUCUUGGGAAAAUUUGUUUGG
rnacentral:lncRNA from 1 species